rnacentral:piRNA from 1 species
UGUUUAAACUUCUUGUUCUUUCUAAGAUAA